rnacentral:lncRNA from 14 species
GUGGGAGGCAAAGCGAGCCCGUGGAGCCCGAGGGAGCAAGGGUGCUUAUGGUGCUAGGCGGGAAGCCCGAAAUCACAGUUUCAGCUUGUGGGAAGAAGAAGGCUUUACCUGCGGUGUUCCCAGCUGCUGCCCUGGGGAGCGGCAGGAGAAGGUAUGGUGGGAGCCAGCAGAAAGAAGGGCACUCAGGCAAAGGACACCAAGCCUUAGAAACGUGACAAAGACUUUAAAACAAACAAGCAAACCCAAAACUACAUGUGUUACAGAGUCCUGAAAUCUUCAGUGAGUUUCGUCUGUGCUCCCCAUCACAGAGCAAUGGGAAAGCGUGGAUGGGUGCUGAAGCACAGAAAAGAUGUUGCAGAGUAGUUGGAGGUGGGAGGUGUGGGAUUCACUCAGACUUCAUAAAGGAUUUUUUUUUCUGUUGCCUUUUUUUGCUUUCCUCAUGUGCAACUGCAGCAUUAAGUUAGUUUUGUAAUUCUUUUUCGCUGUGCUGACUCCAUUGACUGUGUAACUGGCAGCAUGGUUGACAAAACAAUUUUCAAAGGAGGCCUGUACUUUGAGAGGUGGCUCUCAGACACUGUUCUGAUAAGGACCCCACAGCAGGAAGGGGACAGGGCACUAUUCAGGAGCUCCUAACUCCAUCAGCCUGAGCCCUGCAGCUGCAGUUCAGGGGAGGCUGCACAGUCCCACAGAGUGGAUCCGUUCCCUCUCCCCUAAGCUGUGCAUGGGCUCUCUGCUCCAGGCAACUGUGAGAGAAUUGCACAUGCACAGGGAACAUGUUCGCUGAGCAGGUUGGUGCCAGCUGUACGCAGCGUGUUGCUGUUUAUGAAUGACCACCUGGUGCUCUGUGAAGGGGUUACGGCUUUCACGGAGUGCAGGGCUGCCAUGGCUCAACUGCUACCAGUGCACAAGACACCAAGGACCAAAAGGAUAUUGACACCCAGUGUGCAAAAGCAUUCUCAGUUAGUUUAAUGAUGAGAAUUAUUUACUGAGAUAAAAUAAUAUGCUGCUGUGGGUGCAAAAUUUUUCUACAGUAUGUGUGUGCUUUUAAGUGGCAAAGUCAGAAAAUACCCCCCACCUCCAGAAAUAUAUUAAAUAAAAUCAUUAAAAGAAUCA